rnacentral:rRNA from 1 species
UAGCAUAUCAAUAAGCGGAGGAAAAGAAACCAACAGGGAUUGCCCUAGUAACGGCGAGUGAAGCGGCAACAGCUCAAAUUUGAAAUCUGGCUCUUUUAGAGUCCGAGUUGUAAUUUGCAGAGGGCGCUUUGGCUUUGGCAGCGGUCCAAGUUCCUUGGAACAGGACGUCACAGAGGGUGAGAAUCCCGUACGUGGUCGCUAGCUAUUGCCGUGUAAAGCCCCUUCGACGAGUCGAGUUGUUUGGGAAUGCAGCUCUAAAUGGGAGGUAAAUUUCUUCUAAAGCUAAAUAUUGGCCAGAGACCGAUAGCGCACAAGUAGAGUGAUCGAAAGAUGAAAAGCACUUUGGAAAGAGAGUCAAACAGCACGUGAAAUUGUUGAAAGGGAAGCGCUUGCAGCCAGACUUGCUUGCAGUUGCUCAUCCGGGCUUUUGCCCGGUGCACUCUUCUGCAGGCAGGCCAGCAUCAGUUUGGGCGGUGGGAUAAAGGUCUCUGUCAUGUACCUCUCUUCGGGGAGGCCUUAUAGGGGAGGCGACAUACCACCAGCCUAGACUGAGGUCCGCGCAUCUGCUAGGAUGCUGGCGUAAUGGCUGUAAGCGGCCCGUCUUGAAACACGGACCAAGGAGUCUAACAUCUAUGCGAGUGUUUGGGUGUCAAGCCCGAGCGCGUAAUGAAAGUGAACGGAGGUGGGAACCCGCAAGGGUGCACCAUCGACCGAUCCUGAAGUUUACGGAAGGAUUUGAGUAAGAGCAUGGCUGUUGGGACCCGAAAGAUGGUGAACUAUGCUUGAAUAGGGUGAAGCCAGAGGAAACUCUGGUGGAGGCUCGCAGCGGUUCUGACGUGCAAAUCGAUCGUCAAAUUUGGGCAUAGGGGCGAAAGACUAAUCGAACUAUCUAGUAGCUGGUUCCUGCCGA